rnacentral:lncRNA from 1 species
CUAAAUAUACUUACAUGGAUCUCUUGCUUCGAUAUCCGUCAAACAUUUUUUCACAUCAGAACGAUAAAUUCUUGUGUUCUUCCUGCACUUGCAUAUUUGACAAGUUGAGCUCACGCAUUCCGCGUUAAACUUGUUACAUUCGCACGCGUUUUUCGCUAAAACUCCUCCUUGGCAUGUCGGGUUCUGAAACACAUCCGAUUCGCCGAGUAGUCCGUCGAAAUUCGAUGAAAUCUGUAGCGCUUGUGAGAGCAGGACCAGCAGAAUAAACAGAAGACGCUUUGAAUUCAUUGUUGAUUGUCUAUCCGUGUCUAUUGUUGAAUAUUUAAACAGACAUUUGGCAACGCAACAUAUGCCGCGCGCUCGAAAUGAUCGAUUAAGCUUUGUGUAGCUAUGGCACAAUUCGAUAUAACGCGAAACCCAGACAAAUAGCCUCUUAAAUUGGCCCUUACAUAAACUUACAGCUUAGCCUUCCGAGUUGUUU